rnacentral:rRNA from 1 species
CCUACGGGAGGCAGCAGUGGGGAAUUUUGGACAAUGGGCGCAAGCCUGAUCCAGCAAUGCCGCGUGAGUGAAGAAGGCCUUCGGGUUGUAAAGCUCUUUUGUCAGGGAAGAAACGGGAGUGGCUAAUAUCUGCUCCUAAUGACGGUACCUGAAGAAUAAGCACCGGCUAACUACGUGCCAGCAGCCGCGGUAAUACGUAGGGUGCAAGCGUUAAUCGGAAUUACUGGGCGUAAAGCGUGCGCAGGCGGUUUUGUAAGUUUGUCGUGAAAUCCCCGGGCUCAACCUGGGAAUGGCGAUGAAGACUGCAAGGCUAGAGUUUGGCAGAGGGGGGUAGAAUUCCACGUGUAGCAGUGAAAUGCGUAGAUAUGUGGAGGAACACCGAUGGCGAAGGCAGCCCCCUGGGUCAAAACUGACGCUCAUGCACGAAAGCGUGGGGAGCAAACAGGAUUAGAUACCCUGGUAGUCCACGCCCUAAACGAUGUCUACUAGUUGUCGGGUCUUAAUUGACUUGGUAACGCAGCUAACGCGUGAAGUAGACCGCCUGGGGAGUACGGUCGCAAGAUUAAAACUCAAAGGAUUGACGGNNGAGAGNGCGAGACGACGACGAGGGAGGAGG